rnacentral:lncRNA from 1 species
GCAAAUGUACUCUGGAUGAGAAGGCACUGGCUCAGCCUCCAGGGAACAACGGGGCUGCUAUUCAUAGAAAAGCCUGCUAUUAGCAUUUGCCUGGCAUUUGAGUUAGGCUCACCUAACUGCCUUCCCCAUAGAUAUUGCUGAGCUCAGUUGCUGAACACUGAGGGGCUGAGGUUGCACUCGACCGUUCAUGAUCAGCCCUCCACCCACAGUCCUGCUACCUGGAGAGUCACAGAGGUCCUAGUGUGGUCCUGAGCUGAGGGCAGGUGAG